rnacentral:rRNA from 1 species
UGUGUGUUAAGUGGAAAAGGAUGUGGGAUUUCAAAGACAACUAGGAUGUUGGCUUAGAAGCAGCCAUACAUUUAAAGAGUGCGUAAUAGCUCACUAGUCGAGAAAACCUGCGCCGAAAAUGUAACGGGGCUAAAACACGACACCGAAGCUACGGAUUUCCUACUAGGUAGGAAGUGGUAGAGGAGCAUCCUGCAAGGACGAAGCCAAAGUGAGAGCGAUGGUGGACGAAACAGGAGAGAGAAUGCCGGAAUGAGUAGCGAGAUACAUGUGAGAAACAUGUAGGCCGAAUAUCUAAGGAUUCCUGGGUAAAGCUAAUCUUCCCAGGGUUAGUCGGGGCCUAAGGCGAGGACGAAAGUCGUAGUCGAUGGAUAACAGGUUGAUAUUCCUGUACUACACAUAAUCAGAACUGUGGGGACGCAGGAGGAUAGGGAAACCGGGGAAUGGAAAGACCCGGUCAAGCGUAAAGCUGUGGGAGAUAGGCAAAUCCGUCUCCUGUAAGUGAAACGUGAUGAGGACUGAAAAAAAGUAAGGAAGUUUCCGAAUCCACACUGCCGAGAAAAGCCGCUAUUGCGUUAUGUGUACCCGUACCGUAAACCGACACAGGUAGAUGAGGAGAAAAUCCACAGGCCGACGGGAGAAGUGUUGUUAAGGAACUCGGCAAAAUGACCCCGUAACUUCGGGAUAAGGGGAGCCUCGCAAGAGGCCGCAGAAAAGAGGCACAAGCAACUGUUUAGCAAAAACAUAGGUCUAUGCGAAACCGUAAGGUGAAGUAUAUGGGCUGACGCCUGCCCGGUGCUGGAAGGUUAAAAGGAGAGGUCAGCGCAAGCGAAGCUUUGAAUUCAAGCCCCAGUAAACGGCGGCCGUAACUAUAACGGUCCUAAGGUAGCGAAAUUCCUUGUCAGGUAAGUUCUGACCCGCACGAAAGGCGUAAUGAUUUGUGCACUGUCUCGACAACACGCCCGGUGAAAUUGAAGAACCAGUGAAGAUACUGGUUACCCGCAACAGGACGGAAAGACCCCAUGGAGCUUUACUGCAGCCUGAUACUGGGAUUCGAUGAUAUAUGUACAGGAUAGGUGGGAGGCUAAGAAGCGAGAACGCUAGUUUUCGUGGAGCCGCCGGUGGGAUACCACUCUUAUGUCAUUGAAUUUCUAACCUGCAUCCGUGAUCCGGGUGAGGGACAAUGUCAGGCGGGCAGUUUGACUGGGGCGGUCGCCUCCUAAAAGGUAACGGAGGCGCUCGAAGGUCACCUCAGAAUGAUUGGAAACCAUUCAAAGAGUGUAAAGGCAAAAGGUGGCUUGACUGCGAGAGCGACGGCUCGAGCAGGUACGAAAGUAGGACUUAGUGAUCCGGUGGUAUUAAGUGGGAAUGCCA